CCGUGCUAAGCGGGGAGGUAGCGGUGCCCUGUACUCGCAAUCCGCUCGAGCGAGGCCGAAUCCCUUUCUCGAGGUUCGUUUACUUUAAGGUCUGCCUUAAGCAAGUGGUGUUGACGCUU
rnacentral:SRP_RNA from 1 species